rnacentral:rRNA from 1 species
AACGAACGCUGGCGGCAUGCCUAACACAUGCAAGUCGAACGACACCUUCGGGUGUAGUGGCGCACGGGGGCGUAACGCGGCGGAACCUGCCCUUAUGCUCGGAAUAACUCUCCGUCAGGGGUGCUAAUACAGGGUAACGUAUUCUGACCCAAGAUAUAUCGUCUUGGGAUGGGCCCGCGUUGGAUUAGCUAGUUGGUAGGGUAAAAGCCUACCAAGGCGUGGCUCCAUAGCUGGGCAGAGAGAAUGAUCAGCGACACUUGGACUGAGACACGGGCCGGACUCUUGCGGGAGGGGGCAGUGGGGAAUAUAGGACAACGGGGGAAGGCCUGAUGCAGCAAUGCCGCGUGAGUGAUGAAGGCCUUAGGGUUGUAAAGCUCUUUUACCCGGGAUGAUAAUGACAGUACCGGGAGAAUAAGCUCCGGCUAACUCCGUG